CAGUAGCCGCGGGAAUACGUAGGUGGCAAGCGUUGUCCGGAAUUAUUGGGCGUAAAGGGCUGGCAGGCGGUUUCUUAAGUCUGAUGUGAAAGCCCCCGGCUCAACCGGGGAGGGUCAUUGGAAACUGGGAAACUUGAGUGCAGAAGAGGAGAGUGGAAUUCCACGUGUAGCGGUGAAAUGCGUAGAGAUGUGGAGGAACAUCAGUGGCGAAGGCGGCCAUCUGGGACAACACUGACGCUGAGGAACGAAAGCGUGGGGAGCAAACAGGAUUAGAUACCCGAGUAGUCCCUGUCUCUUAUAA
rnacentral:rRNA from 1 species